UUCUGCACUUCAACACACCGAGACACACACAUACGGUGUGGGAGGACGACAGACUCGGAGCCUCAGCAAAGCCGCUGUUGUUCACACGCUGUGCUCUUUUCCUCCCCUUGGCACCGUGCGCGCUCGCCAAGCCGCACUGUUUGGAGAUAGUCCGCGCGGAAAGUUUUUUGGAGCAUACUGUCUGGAGCCGAUUAAUUGUGGCAUCUGUUGUUUGUUUUUGUUUUUUGGCGAGGCGGAUGACUACUUUUUUUUGCAUGUGACGACACUUGACUCAAGAAGAGGAAUUGUCAAAGUCGUUAUUGCACAGAAUGGAAGGUAAAUUGACAAGUCGUUUGUGGCGAGGAUCACCCAGUGGAUCUUUCCGCAGGUAAAACGCGCUAUGACCUGAGCGUGUUCGCGGCUGGAUUUAUUGUUCAUCACAUUUUUCGUGUUGUUUUUGUUCUGACAUAGUGUAGCUAUAAUCGGGAGGUCAUUUUUUUUACUUGGAUAGAGAGUCUAAAAGUAGGCCGCUUUCAAUUAGAAGAGAACCGACAAAGUACAUCCGACGUUUCCGCCAGUGUCACUUUGGGUUUCCGUAGAUGGGUUUUAUUUGUUAAUAGUCACCGCAAAGUCACGCACUGACUCGUUAAAGGAACUGAUAAUUUCCUCACACUGUCUUAUGGACAUUUCAUAUAUCCCGCUGCUUACUACCAGCCCUCUAAACUGUUUGGCGCACGGAGCGCAUUCACUGAUUGUUGGGCGUCCGAGUUGACCAAAACCCCAAACCUGAAGACCUCUCCGCUUUAGCGUUAACACUCUGUUCACCCUAACCAAGCACUUUCCGAGAGAUCCGGAUAAAACGACGAGACUACUCUUCCCUGCAGCGGUAAAGGAAAUCGUAAAUCCACCUGGCCUUCACUGGGAUUAUUGGUUUGAUAUCGUCUGCAGAAAGUGGAUUAUAACUUCUAACGGGCUGUGCUCCCUGAUCGGCGGCAGCAUGAAACUGGGGCUGGGCUGUGUGUGUCGGCCGGUUUGCUGGCCCUUUGGCAGCGUGUUGGACUCCAGAAACUGUGUCUUUGCCCUCACACUCCUCACACUCCUCAUGCAGGUGGUGGUGGAGGCCAACUCUUGGUGGUCUCUGGCCAUGAACCCUUUACUGAUCCCGGAGGCCUACAUCAUCGGCGCCCAGCCUCUGUGCAGCCAGCUGGUGGGCCUGUCGCAGGGCCAGAAGAAGCUGUGCCAGCUCUACCAGGACCACAUGCAGUACAUCGGUGAAGGUGCCAAGACAGGCAUCAGAGAGUGCCAGUACCAGUUCAGACAUCGGCGUUGGAACUGCAGCACAGUGGACAACUCCUCUGUUUUUGGACGGGUCAUGCAAAUAGGCAGUCGAGAAACGGCAUUCACUUAUGCCAUCAGCGCGGCAGGGGUGGUGAACGCGGUGAGCCGUGCCUGCAGAGAGGGGGAGCUCUCCAGCUGUGGGUGCAGCCGUGCGGCUCGCCCCAAAGAUCUGCCACGAGACUGGCUGUGGGGCGGCUGCGGAGACAACCUCAACUACGGCUACAGGUUCUCCAAGGAGUUUGUGGAUGCACGUGAGAGGGAGAAGAGCUACCCCAAAGGCUCAUAUGAGAGUGCCCGCCUGUUGAUGAAUCUUCACAACAAUGAGGCUGGAAGGAGGACGGUGUCGGACCUUGCCCACGUGUCCUGCAAGUGCCACGGGGUAUCGGGCUCCUGCAGCCUGAAGACUUGCUGGCUGCAGCUGGCUGACUUCCGCAAGGUGGGCGACGCGCUGAAGGAAAAGUACGACAGCGCGGCCGCCAUGAAGCUCAACUCGCGUGGGAAGAUGGUGCAGAUCCACAGCAAGUUCAACGCUCCCACCAGUCACGACCUGGUGUACAUCGAGUCCAGUCCAGACUACUGCCUGAAGAACCAGAGCACGGGCUCCCUGGGCACAGUGGGGCGCCUUUGUAACAAGACCUCAGAGGGCAUGGAUGGGUGCGAGCUGAUGUGCUGCGGACGCGGCUAUGACCAGUACAAGGCCCAGAUAGUGGAGCGCUGCCACUGUAAGUUCCACUGGUGCUGCUACGUCAAGUGCAAGCGCUGCACCAAAAUCGUAGACCAAUUCGUCUGCAAGUGAGAGGAGAAGUGUGGCCUGUGUGUGUUUGCUUGCAGACGAUGGACAUACAUCUGUGUGUAUCCAUGAGCAGAGGAGCAAAGGAGUUGAACACAGACAGAGAGAGAAUGGAAGAAAGAAACUAUAUAAAUUAUAUUUAUAGAGUUAAACAAUUAUGCCAUUGCAAAAAGACUGACUCUUUUUUUCAAAAAAAAAUGUUAUGUCUGAGAGUAUCGUGAAAUAUUUAUUUUGAGAUUGUUGUUUUAUUUUGGCCCAGUCAUCACCAGCCAAUUUUAACCCCUUCAAGUUCCAAAAACUGGCUGGAAAUCUGCCCCCACCAACCCCUACACUUUUUUUUUUAAUGUUAGGAAAUACAGUUUUUCUCGUCAGGUGGGUCACACUGAUAGCGAAAUUGUACUGAGCUUCCCAUUUCCUAACAAGAGUAGAGUUUGAUAUUUGUGGCAUAGUUGACUAAGAGGUUUGUUGUUUUCAAAGUGACUGUGUUGAGAGGAGAACGCCUGUGUGCUGUAGCGUAUGGAUGUGUUUUUGUGGGCCCAGUCCCACACCAGCCUUCACAUCCUUAUAAACACCUACUUGUCCCCUCUCAUCAUAUGUACAAUAAGGAACACCGUUGGUCCGAGUCCUUGGAGUACAAUGGGUACAAUUAAAGGGCUGUUUUGGGGGGAUUGGGCCAUUUAUUAAGCUGUUCCAGAAGCCUUAGAGUUCCCCAGGUGCUGCAACAAGCCCUCCACCAUUAUGCACUUUGAUACAGAGGCUUAAACCUGUCUGUAUGUGUCUGUUCAGCUGUUUUUUUACUACAGUGCAUCAGCAAAUAUAUCAAUAUUAUAGUCUACAUUCUUUUCCAUAUUAAUUCAGAUUAUCCAUUUAACAUUAUUCUACAAUACUUAACAUGGUUUGAAUAUAUAUGGGCAAUGUUGUGGUUACAGUGGUGAAAUAUUCCAUGCUCUGUGUAUAUAGUAUGUCUAUCCAACCAAUCAGUAAACUGUAUUUAUUUUCUUUAACCAGAUCCUCCUUUAAGCUUAAAACAGAAAAUAAAAACACCCACCAUCUCCAUCAUAGAUCAGUAUUUUGUCAGACAUCCCCAAGUUUUGAAGUCACUUUUUAAAAAUUGUGUUCUCACUAAUAUGGCUCUUCACUGUUUUCGUAAAGGGAAAUGCACCUUAUUGUUUUGAAACACGGAUUCUUUCUUCUGACUCAUGUUCAGCUUUACACACACACACACACACACACACACACACACACACACACACACACACACACACACACACACACACACACACACACACACACACACACACACACAAAAUUAUUAUAGCAGGUGUUCAGAUUUGAUCGCCACAGAUUUCCAGUACCACUCAGUUAACUGCGCACUAUCCCUGUGAUGAUUCUCAAUAGACAAAACUAUUUCUAAAUCCAAUUAUGUAUAUUUAUAAGCUUCUCUAUGAAUUUGAGGUUUGUUAAACGUAAUGUGUUAUAGCUGAUAUUUUGUUACUUUUUACAAUUUGGCUCUACUACAAAAUGCUCUACUUUGUUUCAAUAAAUAUCAAAUGUAAAACCA